rnacentral:RNase_P_RNA from 1 species
CAAGUGUGAGGAAAGUCUGCGCUCCACAGAGCAAGGAUGCUUGUUAACGGCAAGUGGGGGCGACCCUAAGGCCAGUGCAACAGAAAUAUACCGCCAUUUAUGGUAAGGGUGGAAAGGCGAGGUAAGAGCUCACCGGAUUAUUAGUGAUAAUAAUGCCAUGUAAACCCCAUCCGGAGCAAGACCGAUUAGGACUAACAGAUGUUGCUCGCAUCUGCCGGUAGGUAGGUCGCUAGAAACUAUUGGUGACAAUAGUUCAAGAUAGAUAGUUGACUAAACAGAACGCAGCUUAUAGACUUGCUUG